UUUGUCCUCAAACAAUGCAGUGACUCAAUGCUAAACAAACAUGGCUUAAUAGCUUGCCGUGUCUCAGGAUUGGAACUUAGCAUUAACAAUAAAACGAUAUCAAUAGUGCGAGAAUAAAAUUAACCUUUACUCAUCAAUUGCAAUACUCAACGUGUGUGUGUGAACUCAUGCCAACAUAUCAAGCUUAUGAAUGGUUUAUU
rnacentral:lncRNA from 1 species